UAGUGGCGAACGGGUGAGUAACACGUGGGCAAUCUGCCCUGCACUCUGGGACAAGCCCUGGAAACGGGGUCUAAUACCGGAUAUGAGCUGGAACCGCAUGGUUCUGGUUGUAAAGCUCCGGCGGUGCAGGAUGAGCCCGCGGCCUAUCAGCUUGUUGGUGAGGUAAUGGCUCACCAAGGCGACGACGGGUAGCCGGCCUGAGAGGGCGACCGGCCACACUGGGACUGAGACACGGCCCAGACUCCUACGGGAGGCAGCAGUGGGGAAUAUUGCACAAUGGGCGAAAGCCUGAUGCAGCGACGCCGCGUGAGGGAUGACGGCCUUCGGGUUGUAAACCUCUUUCAGCAGGGAAGAAGCGAAAGUGACGGUACCUGCAGAAGAAGCGCCGGCUAACUACGUGCCAGCAGCCGCGGUAAUACGUAGGGCGCAAGCGUUGUCCGGAAUUAUUGGGCGUAAAGAGCUCGUAGGCGGCUUGUCACGUCGAUUGUGAAAGCCCGGGGCUUAACUCCGGGUCC
rnacentral:rRNA from 1 species